UACGAAGGGGGCUAGCGUUGCUCGGAAUCACUGGGCGUAAAGCGCACGUAGGCGGCUUUUUAAGUCAGGGGUGAAAUCCUGGAGCUCAACUCCAGAACUGCCUUUGAUACUGGAGAGCUUGAGUCCGGAAGAGGUGAGUGGAACUCCGAGUGUAGAGGUGAAAUUCGUAGAUAUUCGGAAGAACACCAGUGGCGAAGGCGGUUCUCUGGGACGGUACUGACGCUGAGACGCGAAAGCGUGGGGAGCGAACAGG
rnacentral:rRNA from 1 species